rnacentral:tRNA from 1 species
GUAGCUCAGUGGUAGAGGGCUUGCGUAGCAUGCAAGAGGCCCUGGGUUUGAUCCCCAGC